AGUGGAGUGGCGUCAACCACCAUCUUGGGACAACCUGUAUGGUACAUCUAGUUUUUCAUCCUUAUUUUGACAAAGGGAUUUAAGUAGAAAUUGUGAAUAGCCAGGUUCCAAUUUUUGUUUUGGAUGAUUAACCUUGGUGACUAGUGCAAGGAUAUUAAGGCCCUGAGGUGAAUAAUUGUUUCUGGCCUCUGUAUUGUUGUACUAGUACAUAAAUCGAAUUGCACUUUUCUGACUUAUUUCCUUUAUGAUACAUAAAAGUAUUUUGUGUCAUUAUGGUAUGAACUCAAAAUAGAAUAUUUUUGAUAUGCAAAGCAUGGUGCCAUAGAGUAGUGUCUUUAUCAGUGUUUUAGAUUUUGGGAAUCACGCUAUCACCCCCGAUAGAAACAGAAUAUUGAAGGCUUCUUGUAGAUGAAGUUUUAUAGCGAAAACUAUGAAUAGUAACAGCAUUUAAGAUUCCAUAUAGAAAUUGUUCAUCAUUCUGUGUCCAUGACUCAUG
rnacentral:lncRNA from 1 species